GUCGGAAGUCGCCUCAACCUGCCUGCCCGGAAGCCGUCGCCUUAGCAACACAGCGUUGUCCCGUCCUCUUCCCUUAGCCACGCCCAUUGUACUUAGAAUUCUAGAGCCAGCCAGACAUCGAUUGGUUCACUUAUCCUUCACUCCGCGAGACAGGCGAGACUGCAGGGCUCUGGAGCGCGUUUUUGAAUUUGUAGCGCGUAUAGAGUCCGUGAGGUACCUUGUGGAGUUCGUGCUGUGGCUGGAGCCAGCUACUCAGGGUGAACUCUGAAGUCCUGAGCUAUGGCAGAACUCAAGCCCCUCAAGUCACAUAGAAAUCUACCCAUCAAACACUGGAUUGCCAUCGCCUGCCCCUGGCUCAGCGCCCGGUGCCAACAGAACACCUUUCAGGAUUCACAGCAGCGCAGACAACAAGUCCAGGAUCCCGGCCUCUGAUUGGAACAGAACAGUGUCAUGGCGGAGACGACGGCCUUUGUCUUGCUGGAUGUGAAAACAUCCGCUGUGCUGGCUCCACUGCGGCAGAAUCAAGUUUAAAGGAAAAAAAGUGAUUAAAGUCAGCUUUGUGCCUCUUUGGUGUGGAAGACCCACAGACCUCAAGUAGCCGACUCCCAGGUCCGAGGAAGGGCUCAUAGUUGGAGCAGCCUAGGCUGUAAUCCUGGCACUGGCGCCUUCGGUUGCUGCUUGCUGUUCGCUCCUGGGGGUCUGGAUAAUCUCCCUUGGCUUUACCGCACUGUCUGGCCCGCAUACAGGGCCCCGUAACAUAUACCCGCUCCUGCUAUCACACGAAACUGUGGCGUUGCCCCUGAAUGGAUGGCACCGUGCCAACUCUUCUGCCAUCCGCCCUUGCAGCUUUUUUCUUUCCUCCCUCCCUCCCCUUCUUCUCCUCCUCCCGUCGACUUGACGUUAAUUAACACACGGGUUAAUUGAUUUUAAAAGCCGAAGAAUUACAGUUAACUUUUCCCACAGGGUACAGACGCCAGCCGCUUGGCACACUCUGCCUUUCGCACUAGUUAGUGCAGGGGGGCAGGGAAAGCCCACAGCAAAACUAGCAACUGCUGAAGGAACGUUGCUUGCUUAUUGGAGUAGAGCCGACAGAAGUCGACGUGGCACUGCCUCAUCCUUUGCAAUAUAUGUAGCCAUUAUAUAUUUUGCUAAAUAAUCAAAACAGAACCCUAGCUUUCUUCUCCCUUCCUCUUUCAAAAUGGGAAAACCUUUCUGAAGUUCACUUAGAGGGGGGGAAAAACCCUCCCCAGGACCAUUUAUCUCAUCUAUAAUAUGCUUUUUUUCCCCAGCAUCAUGAAAAUAACCAGUGCCUUUUAAUUUUUUAAUCUUUAUAUAUUUAUUUUUUAGUUUGAAAAAAGGAAGUCUCUCCCUUCCUUUAAUAUUACUGGCAUAGGAGAUUAUUAUUUUAAAGAAAAAGUUCCAUGAAGUUUUUUUCUAUACCUGAGUGUUUUGUUUGGUUUCCAUUCCUCUUGACCUAAAUGGGUUAUUUAUUGUAAAAGAUUACAGUGAGAAAGUAGGUAAAUUUUAAUUAAGAACAAAAUCCAUACCAAAGCUCUUUGUUUUUUUGUUUGUAUGUGAGUAUAUUUUUACUGUCUGCUUCCCCCCAAUGAAAUGAAAGCAAUUGAUACUGUAGUUGGAAAGCAGAGGCAAAGCUGAGAACUUGAUGCUUUCACCUUUUCAUGCUUUCAUUUAUUUCAUUUUGUUUUUUAAAAGCAUGCAGCAAGUGAAGCGACAAGAGGAAUCCAUUAUGCAAAUCAUGUCACUUUGCAUAAUGUCUCGUGACUGGAAUAUGCAAAUUAGCUGUAUAAUUUAUGAGUGCCAGUGUCUGUCUAAAAGUGUUUCACAUAAUUUACAAAGUAAGCCUGAGAGACAUUGGGAAGGCAGCUCUUCCAACUCCAUUGCUAGGAAUGCUCUGUGUAUUUUCCUACAAGUGCCCACUCAUAAUACCUAAUAUCAUCAAGUGCAGUUUAAGAAAUUAAGGUUCCACAUGUUCGUGAAAGACAAAGAUUUUCCUCUAACUCUAUUUGUCCAUUGAUUUUUUGCCUAAAACUUUGCCAGAAACUUAGAUCCUCAUACCUUAAUUUUCAGAUUUAACUUCAAAAAACAAAAAACUUAUUAAAGCCAAACAUGCUAUUUGUAUAUGAGUUUUCCUUUCUCAAUUAAAGAAUAUCUUAGAGAAAUAGACACUUAAUCGAUGUGUCUGGAUCUGUGAAAAAGAAGAACGGGACUUCUCAUUUUGUUUGUAUGAGAUAUGUCCUGCUCUGAGGACAUGUAAAGGUACGUAAAGGUAUGUAUGCUCUGCUCUGUGCAACAUUUUGUAUGUCAUAGACAUUGAUGUGGAAGGC
ensembl:lncRNA